rnacentral:rRNA from 1 species
UACAGAGGGUGCGAGCGUUGUCCGGAAUCACUGGGCGUAAAGGGCGCGUAGGCGGCCUGGCAAGUCGGUGGUGAAAGCUCGCGGCUCAACUGCGAGUCGGCCAACGAUACUGCGAGGCUCGAGUCGACUAGAGGCAGAUGGAAUUCCGGGUGUAGCGGUGAAAUGCGUAGAGAUCGGAAGGAACGUCAAUGGCGAAGGCAGCCACCUGGCAUCAUACUGACGCUGAGGCGCGAAAGCGUGGGGAGCGAACAGG